GGUCAGGGCCUUUCUCUGGUUCACUCCUGGGCCUCACUGACCUUCGUUCUGGCUGGGGAAUGAGACCCUGAAGGUGCCCCUGGCGCUCUUCGCUCUGAACAGACAGCGCCUGUGUGAGCGGCUGCACAAGAACCCGGCCGUGCAGGCCGGCAGUGUCGUGCUGCUGCAGGGAGGGGAGGACACGCAGCGCUACUGCACUGACACCGGCGUCCUCUUCCGCCAGGAGUCUUUCUUUCACUGGGCAUUCGGCGUCACCGACCCAGGCUGCUACGGCACGAUUGAGGUCAGCACUGGGAAGUCCACCCUGUUUGUGCCCAGGCUUCCUGCCAGCUAUGCCACCUGGAUG